rnacentral:ncRNA from 2 species
GCCUUAUCAAGAGAGGCGGAGGGACUUGGCCCGAUGAAACCUCAGCAACCAGCCCAUACGGCACGGUGCUAAAUCCAACAGGUAUACCUGAAAAGAUAAGGA